AACUCUGCACUGCUGUGGCAGUAUCACAACCAAUGAGGUUUAUCCCAUGCACAAUUAUUGCUAAUUGAAAACUUCCCAAUACACUACUGUGACAACUUGCAAUGUAGUCAGCAUUGGCAAUUUUUGACAGUCUCUAAAGAGA
rnacentral:snRNA from 1 species